ACUUUCUGUAAAGUGGCAAGAAGAAAUUGAAGAGAGGUGGUGGAAGUUUAUUGAGGACCCAAGCGGCUUUAUUCUGCUCAAUAUGGAUAUUGAGUUCAGUUGGAACACAUCAAAGGCAGUCUGGGGGUUCUUCUCAUGGAGGAACUUCUUGCAUGCCACAAAGCAUUUGGUGUUAAGAAACUGCUAAAAGACUUUUGUGUGGACUGGUAAAGGUCGUGGCACCUAAGACGGCCCUUAUGGGAAGGAGAGCUACAAGCACAGAAAUGAGGAGCAGUAAUGGCAGACAGGAUUCGGUGGAUUCCUGGAAGUUUGGAGCUUGGAGGGAGCCAAGAACAAGAAAUAGUUUGCAAGAUGUAAAGCUUGCUAUAUGCUUCUCAAUGAGCACUGAAACAGGAAAAAAAAAAAAA
rnacentral:lncRNA from 1 species